rnacentral:snoRNA from 1 species
AUGGCCCCUGCUCUCCUGUUUCCUGGGUUGCGUCUGUCAGAGGCAUCUGGUAGGACACACAGCAGUCGCUCUCAGCUUAGGGCCAUCAUGAGCUGACUUUUAAAGACUGGAAAGAACAAA